AGUGAAUGAAGAGGAAGAGGGGUGCUUGUAUUUAUAGUUGAAAUCCUGCCGACAGACCGAGGAAAUUCCGACGGAAUUCCGACGGAAACGGCUAGUUCGUCGGAAUUUCCUUGGAAUUUUUAAAAUCCCCCAACGGCUCCCUAACGGCUAUAAUAUAUCCUCGGAAUUCAUCAGUUUUUUCAGAGGAAUACGUUUUUCCUCGGUAUUCCAUAAGAAUAUUCCGAACGGAUUAAUAUUUCCUCGGAAUUCCGUCGGUAUAUUCCGAGGAAACCAAAUUUUGUGUUUCCUCGGAAUAUCCUCGGAAAUUCCUCGGGAUAUUCCGAGGAUUUCAUUUUCCGUCGGAAUGUACGUCAGAAUACCGUUGUUUUCUUGUUGUGAUGGUCCUAAGUGAACAUGUACCAGAUCUCAUCACCCUCAACACUCUUGUCAAUGGACUUUGUCUCAAGGGUUAUCUGUCUGAAUCAGUAGAUAUAAAUAGACCGAAUGGUGGAAAUGCACCAAAUGAUUGUACAUACAACUCAUUAAUCCGAGCUCAUCUCAGAUAUGGUGACUCAGCCAAAUCAGCUACACUUAUAGAAGAAAUGAAGAGGUGUGGCUUUGCUGCAGAUGCUUCCACCAUAAAGAUAGUUAUGGAUAUAUUAGUAGAUGGUAGAUUGGACAAAAGCUUUUUGGAUAUGCUUACUUAGAAUGUUUAUCUGCUAGAGACAAAGUCCCGGUUAAUAAUUUAUGCUUAAUAGUAUAAAUAAGUUUGUUUGUUUGUUUACCUUUUUAUUGUUUCAUUUUCAGUGUAUAAUGUUUGUCAUCUUUAAUUGAGCAUAUGUUUAUUGACAAAAUGCUCAAGCUUGAUAAGCAGUUAAUUAGAACUAGUGUGCAGUCUCUAAUAGAAGACAUGUCUCCAUGGUUGGACUAUGGGAAUUAAUUAGUGGUGGAAGCUUAAGAGAAGUUAGCUGUGAGUAGAGAUGUCAAAUGAGUCUCAUGUCCAUGGGUGAACCAUGUCCAAACCCAUUUGUACUAACCAAAUUAGACCCACAAAUAAAGCUGUCCAAUUGGGUCGAAGUCCAAUAAAUCCCAAAUCCGAGGGGAUUAACCCAUUUGGACAUGUACGGCCCAAUGAUCUAAAAAACUAGGGUUUUCAUUUGGGGAAAAAAUCGGAGUCGCGAUUCUCUCUCUCAAACCGUCUCUCUCGAUUCUCUCUCAAGCUGUCUCUCUCAACUCAGCGAACUCGGCGACGAUCCACCUCUCUCGACUCUUGAUCCACCUCUCUCGACUCUCGAUCCGCGUCUCUCGACUCUCGAUCCGUCUCUCUCGAUCCAUCAACUUCUGAAAAGUGUUUGCAUGUACACUUGUCUUUGAUUCUCUGUAUCUUUGGCUUGCGUUUAGGGUUCUUCGAUUUUGUUCAUUGUUCUAUUUCGUUGAUGGGUUUUACUCCGUUCGUUGUUCUGUUUCGUUUCUUAACAUUUUUUAGCUUAGGGUUCUUCGAUGGGUUAAUGGUUAAUGAUUGAUUCUCGUUUGUUUGUAAGCUUGAUUCUCUGUGUCUUCAUUUGAUGUUUGUAAGCUGAUGAUUCUCAUUUCUGAUGGGUUUGUUGUUCUAGUUUCUAGUAAACUUUAGAUGGGUUUGUUUGCGAGAUGAGUUUCUGGUUCAUGGCUCGUUUCUUUCUUAGCUUGUUUAUGUCUUAGCUCUCUCGGCCCGAGUCUCGGGUUUGAAUCAGUUUGAAAUCUCUUUGGUAUCUUUAGUGAUAUUGCUUUGAGUUUGAUGAGUUCUAGUAAAGUUUAAAGAUGAUAGUAACUAUGUGUUGUUUCUGUUGAUGGUUUUAGCUUGUUAUAAUCUGAUGGGUUUGCUUGUUUAUUGUACUGUAUAUUGUUGGACCAUGAUUUGUCACCAAGUCUUUCCCGCCAUUAUUAUAUUAAUCUUUCACAAAGAUCAAGUCAAAAGAAUUGGUUAUUAGUUUCCUAAUAUCUCGGCCUCUUAUUAAUUCAAAAAGAAGUCAAAGCUGAGAAGAAGGAAGCACUUGUAACAACCAAACAACGUAAAAAGAGUCCUAUAAAAAGACAAGAGGCCACCUCACGAGCUCCAGAUCCCAUUAUUCCACCACCACUUAUAGAUAAAAGAUGAUCAUCACAAUCGAUCACCAUUUUGAUUAAGUCAUUACGCUUUGGUUAUACACUCUCCAAUCAUCGGGACUCUUCUACUAGAAGACAAAAAAAGUAAACAAAGACGUCUCCGUAUUUGUUAAUACAAAGGACGGGAUCAUAUGUUAUUUAUGAUCACGAACGAAGGAACCCGUGUAAGCUCGAGGAUGAAACCAGAAUGACAUACUUCCCGAAGUAAAGGUGUCCAUGAAGAAGAGUACAACCCAACCCUACGUCUUAUCCGAGAUCGACGAAGAUCAAUGUCUCGCUCAAAGACCGACGAAGAUCGAUGUCUCGCUCAAGACCGAUGUCUCCUUCAAGAUUGAUAAACCCGGCGUCUCUUUAGAGACAAUUAUCUUUGAACUACGUUAGACUUGAUCCCGCAAUGGGUACAUAGGCAGCUCGAUUAUGAGUUCAGUCACGAUCCCUCUCUCCCCCGAUAUCUCUAUGCUGUUCAGCAUGCGAAUAUAGUCCAUUUUUGUCGACUCGAACCUGAUUACAUCGAUGUUGUUUCGAGGAGUUUGCGCCCACGUUAUUUCUUCCCAAUUCGUUUUCAUUCAAACACUACAAAAUACAUAGUGUAGAUUUUAGGAUCUACAUAUAUAUUCAGUCUUUUAGUUCUGGAUAUUGACGUUUUAGGCUUGUUUCUAAUGGUGAUAAUAGAAGAAGCCGAGAAGAUGAAGAAAAAGGAAGACUGAAAUGACUAUUAAAAAUGUAUGCUUUUUAAUUCUAUAAAUAUAAUGAAGUUACGUUAAAAAUGAAUUUUUGUAUGUAAACACUGAUUUUUUAAUUGGGCUUCUCGGAAGGCCCAUUUGGAAUGGUCCAAUUUGGUUUGGACAAUUUGGACAGAGUAUAAUUUGGACUUCAAAAUAAUAAUAUCCAAUAAAUUGCUUUGUCCAUUUGGACAUGGACAACUCAUUUGACAUCCCUAACUGUGAUCAGUUAGUUUAUCUUCUCUUGUGGUUGUGAUCGAAUCUUGUUUUUUCUCUAAAUAUAUUUAUCAAAGUGUAUAGAAUUGUCGCUGAAUGUGAUUGUCCAAUGGGACAGUACUCUGAGAAAUGCUUUCUUCCCUAGCCCAUAAGAGUUCUUCCGCGAACGAGGCUUUUCUGUACAUGGUGGUCGAAGAAACUUCCGACCAACAGAGAGUCAUCGGAGCGCCGGUGAACAAACAGCUUGGACAUGAAUCGAGGAGGACUAAGAGAAGACGACGUCGAGGUUGGAGAGGCAUACGUCGGCGAGCUUUGGCUCCACCGGUGUCAGAGAGCCUUCGGAGAAGCGGCGCCUGGGAAAAAUUUAGAGCAAACUGAAGUAAAAAAAUUUUUUUUGUAGGAUUACGCAAAAGAAACUCUAUUUGAUAAUUGAAGGACCUAGAUAAAUACUUCACUUAUAUACCAAUUUUUCAAACCGA